rnacentral:rRNA from 1 species
GACGUAGGGCGCGAGCGUUGUCCGGAUUUAUUGGGCGUAAAGAGCUCGUAGGCGGCUUGUCGCGUCGAAUGUGAAAUCUCAGGGCUCAACUCUGACAUUGCAUUCGAUACGGGCAGGCUAGAGUUCGGUAGGGGAGACUGGAAUUCCAGGUGUAGCGGUGAAAUGCGUAGAUAUCUGGAGGAACACCGGUGGCGAAGGCGGCAUCCUGGACCAACACUGACGCUGAGGAGCGAAAGCCAGGGGAGCAAACGGG